CCCAGGAGGGGGAUCAACGGCUCGGAAACGGCCGCUAAUACCCCAUAUGCCGAGAGGUGAAAUGAGUUUUCGCCUUGGGAUGAGCUCGCGUCUGAUUAGCUAGUUGGUGGGGUAAUGGCUUACCAAGGCAUCGAUCAGUAGCUGGUCUGAGAGGAUGAUCAGCCACACUGGGACUGAGACACGGCCCAGACUCCUACGGGAGGCAGCAGUGGGGAAUUUUCCGCAAUGGGCGAAAGCCUGACGGAGCAACGCCGCGUGAGGGAUGAAGGCCUCUGGGCUGUAAACCUCUUUUCUCAAGGAAGAAGAACUGACGGUACUUGAGGAAUAAGCCACGGCUAAUUCCGUGCCAGCAGCCGCGGUAAUACGGGAGUGGCAAGCGUUAUCCGGAAUUAUUGGGCGUAAAGCGUCCGCAGGCGGCCUUUUAAGUCUGUUGUCAAAGCGUGGAGCUUAACUCCAUUUGAGCAAUGGAAACUGGGAGGCUUGAGUGUGGUAGGGGCAGAGGGAAUUCCGGUGUAGCGGUGAAAUGCGUAGAUAUCGGGAAGAACACCAGUGGCGAAGGCGCUCUGCUUGGCCAUACUGACCUCAUUGGACCAAAGCCAGGGAGCCAAAGGGAUUAGAUCCUUGUAGUUAA
rnacentral:rRNA from 1 species